rnacentral:rRNA from 1 species
AUUGAACGCUGGCGGCAUGCCUUACACAUGCAAGUCGAACGCCCCGCAAGGGGAGUGGCAGACGGGUGAGUAACACGUGGGAACCUACCCUUUGGUUCGGAAUAGCCCAGGGAAACUUGGGGUAAUACCGGAUAAGCCCUUCGGGGGAAAGAUUUAUCGCCGAAGGAUGGGCCCGCGUCGGAUUAGCUAGUUGGUGGGGUAACGGCCUACCAAGGCGACGAUCCGUAGCUGGUCUGAGAGGAUGAUCAGCCACACUGGGAGUGAGACACGGCCCAGACUCCUACGGGAGGCAGCAGUGGGGAAUAUUGGACAAUGGGCGCAAGCCUGAUCCAGCCAUGCCGCGUGAGUGACGAAGGUCUUCGGAUUGUAAAGCUCUUUUGGCGGGGACGAUAAUGACGGUACCCGCAGAAUAAGCCCCGGCUAACUUCGUGCCAGCCGCCGCCGUAA